rnacentral:rRNA from 1 species
CGAGGGGCAUCGGGGCGAGGAGCAAUCCUUGCCGCCGGCGACCGGCGCACGGGUGAGUAACGCGUAUGCGACCUGCCCGUUGCAGGGGGAUAAUCGGGAGAAAUCCCGUCUAAUACCGCGUAACGCCGCGGGGCUGCAUGGCCCUGCGGCCAAAGGGAGCGAUUCCGGCAACGGAUGGGCAUGCGUGACAUUAGCUAGUUGGCGGGGCAACGGCCCACCAAGGCGACGAUGUCUAGGGGUUCUGAGAGGAAGGUCCCCCACACUGGUACUGAGACACGGACCAGACUCCUACGGGAGGCAGCAGUGAGGAAUAUUGGUCAAUGGGCGCGAGCCUGAACCAGCCAAGUCGCGUGAGGGAUGACGGCCCUACGGGUUGUAAACCUCUUUUGUCGGGGAGCAAAUUCCGUUACGUGUAACGGAGUCGAGAGUACCCGAAGAAAAAGCAUCGGCUAACUCCGUGCCAGCAGCCGCGGUAAUACGGAGGAUGCGAGCGUUAUCCGGAUUUAUUGGGUUUAAAGGGUGCGUAGGCGGACUGUCAAGUCAGCGGUAAAAUACGGGGGCUCAACCUCCGCCCGCCGUUGAAACUGACGGUCUUGAGUGGGCGAGAAGUAUGCGGAAUGCGUGGUGUAGCGGUGAAAUGCAUAGAUAUCACGCAGAACUCCGAUUGCGAAGGCAGCAUACCGGCGCCCAACUGACGCUGAAGCACGAAAGCGUGGGUAUCGAACAGGAUUAGAUACCCUGGUAGUCCACGCAGUAAACGAUGAAUACUAGCUGUCCGGGGCG